GACGAACGCUGGCGGCGUGCUUAACACAUGCAAGUCGAACGAAGUGGCGAACGGGUGAGUAAUACGUGGGUAACCUGCCCUCCUUUUUGGGCUAAGCCUUGGAAACGGGGUCUAAUACCGACUAAAGGGGGAUGGGCUCGCGGCCUAUCAGCGUGUUGGUGGGGUGCUGGGCUACCAAGGCGGUGACGGGUUGCCGGCCUGAGAGGGUGAUCUGCCACAGUGGUACUGAGCUGCGGCCCAGAGGCGUAAGUGAGGGGGAAUUGUGGGAUAUUGGAGAAUGGGCGAAAGCCUGAUGCAGCGACGCCGCGUGGGGGAUGAAGGCUUUCGGGUUGUAAACCUGUUUCGCUAUCGAACCGGUAGGUGGAGAAGAAGCGCCGGCUAACUACGUGCCAGCAGCCGCGGUAAUAC
rnacentral:rRNA from 1 species